AUUGAACGCUGGCGGCAUGCUUUACACAUGCAAGUCGAACGGUAACAGGCCUUCGGGUGCUGACGAGUGGCGAACGGGUGAGUAAUGCAUCGGAACGUACCCAGAGGUGGGGGAUAACGCAGCGAAAGCUGUGCUAAUACCGCAUGUGAUCUGAGGAUGAAAGCGGGGGACCGAGCAGCAAUGUUUGGCCUCGCGCCUUUGGAGCGGCCGAUGUCGGAUUAGCUAGUUGGUGGGGUAAAGGCCUACCAAGGCGACGAUCCGUAGCUGGUCUGAGAGGACGACCAGCCACAGUGGGACUAAGACGCGGCCCAGACUCCUACGGGAGGCAGCUGUGGGGAAUUUUGGACAAUGGGCGCAAGCCUGACCCAGCAAUGCCGCGUGCGGGAAGAAGGCCUUCGGGUUGUAAACCGCUUUUGGCAGGAACGAAACGGUGUCCGCUAAUACCGGGCGCUAAUGACGGUACCUGCAGAAUAAGCACCGGCUACCUACGUG
rnacentral:rRNA from 1 species